rnacentral:rRNA from 1 species
GAUGAACGCUGGCGGCGUGCUUAACACAUGCAAGUCGAACGAAGCACUUUAUUUGAUUUCCUUCGGGACUGAUUAUUUUGUGACUGAGUGGCGGACGGGUGAGUAACGCGUGGGUAACCUGCCUUGUACAGGGGGAUAACAGUUGGAAACGGCUGCUAAUACCGCAUAAGCGCACGGCAUCGCAUGAUGCAGUGUGAAAACCUCCGGUGGUAUAAGAUGGACCCGCGUUGGAUUAGCUAGUUGGUGAGGUAACGGCCCACCAAGGCGACGAUCCAUAGCCGACCUGAGAGGGUGACCGGCCACAUUGGGACUGAGACACGGCCCAAACUCCUACGGGAGGCAGCAGUGGGGAAUAUUGCACAAUGGGCGAAAGCCUGAUGCAGCGACGCCGCGUGAGCGAAGAAGUAUUUCGGUAUGUAAAGCUCUAUCAGCAGGGAAGAUAAUGACGGUACCUGACGAAGAAGCACCGGCUAAAUACGUG